rnacentral:rRNA from 1 species
UACGUAGGGUCCGAGCGUUGUCCGGAAUUACUGGGCGUAAAGAGCUCGUAGGUGGUUUGUCGCGUUGUUCGUGAAAACUCACAGCUCAACUGUGGGCGUGCGGGCGAUACGGGCAGACUUGAGUACUGCAGGGGAGACUGGAAUUCCUGGUGUAGCGGUGGAAUGCGCAGAUAUCAGGAGGAACACCGGUGGCGAAGGCGGGUCUCGUGGGCAGUAACUGACGCUGGAGGAGCGAA